GUAGGUGGCAAGCGUUGUCCGGAAUUAUUGGGCGUAAAGCGCGCGCAGGCGGUUCUUUAAGUCUGAUGUGAAAGCCCACGGCUCAACCGUGGAGGGUCAUUGGAAACUGGAGAACUUGAGUACAGAAGAGGAAAGCGGAAUUCCACGUGUAGCGGUGAAAUGCGUAGAGAUGUGGAGGAACACCAGUGGCGAAGGCGGCUUUCUGGUCUGUAACUGACGCUGAGGCGCGAAAGCGUGGGGAGCAAACAGGAUUAGAUACCCUGGUAGUCCACGCCGUAAACGAUGAGUGCUAAGUGUUAGGGGGGCUUCCGCCCCCUUAGUGCUGCAGCUAACGCAUUAAGCACUCCGCCUGGGAGUACGGCCGCAAGGCUG
rnacentral:rRNA from 1 species